GACAACGUGGCCGAGUGGUUAAGGCGACAGACUCGAAUCCCCAAAAAUUCUAGUUAUCUGUUUCGUUCGCGAGCACAGGUUCAAAUCCUGUCGUUGUCG
rfam:Tuber melanosporum whole genome shotgun sequence assembly, scaffold_50, strain Mel28